rnacentral:rRNA from 1 species
GUUCUGAGAGGAAGGUCCCCCACAUUGGAACUGAGACACGGUCCAAACUCCUACGGGAGGCAGCAGUGAGGAAUAUUGGUCAAUGGACGAGAGUCUGAACCAGCCAAGUAGCGUGCAGGAUGACGGCCCUAUGGGUUGUAAACUGCUUUUAUAAGGGAAUAAAGUGAGUCUCGUGAGACUUUUUGCAUGUACCUUAUGAAUAAGGACCGGCUAAUUCCGUGCCAGCAGCCGCGGUAAUACGGAAGGUCCGGGCGUUAUCCGGAUUUAUUGGGUUUAAAGGGAGCGUAGGCCGGAGAUUAAGCGUGUUGUGAAAUGUAGACGCUCAACGUCUGCACUGCAGCGCGAACUGGUUUCCUUGAGUACGCACAAAGUGGGCGGAAUUCGUGGUGUAGCGGUGAAAUGCUUAGAUAUCACGAAGAACUCCGAUUGCGAAGGCAGCUCACUGGAGCGCAACUGACGCUGAAGCUCGAAAGUGCGGGUAUCGAACAGGAUUAGAUACCCUGGUAGUCCGCACGGUAAACGAUGGAUGCCCGCUGUUGGUCUGAAUAGGUCAGCGGCCAAGCGAAAGCAUUAAGCAUCCCACCUGGGGAGUACGCCGGCAACGGUGAAACUCAAAGGAAUUGACGGGGGCCCGCACAAGCGGAGGAACAUGUGGUUUAAUUCGAUGAUACGCGAGGAACCUUACCCGGGCUUGAAUUGCAGAGGAAGGAUUUGGAGACAAUGACGCCCUUCGGGGUCUCUGUGAAGGUGCUGCAUGGUUGUCGUCAGCUCGUGCCGUGAGGUGUCGGCUUAAGUGCCAUAACGAGCGCAACCCCUCUCCUUAGUUGCCAUCAGGUCAAGCUGGGCACUCUGGGGACACUGCCACCGUAAGGUGUGAGGAAGGUGGGGAUGACGUCAAAUCAGCACGGCCCUUACGUCCG